rnacentral:rRNA from 1 species
GACGAACGCUGGCGGCAAGCUUAACACAUGCAAGUCGAACGCCGUAGCAAUACGGAGUGGCAGACGGGUGAGUAACACGUGGGAACGUGCCUUUCGGUUCGGAACAACUGAGGGAAACUUCAGCUAAAACCGGAUACGCCCUUCGGGGGAAAGUUUACGCCGAAAGAUCGGCCCGCGUCAGAUUAGGUAGUUGGCGGGGUGAUGGCCCACCAAGCCGAUGAUCUGUAGCUGUUCUGAGAGGAAGAUCAGCCACACUGGGACUGAGACACGGCCCAGACUCCUACGGGAGGCAGCAGUGGGGAAUAUUGGACAGUGGGCGCAAGCUUGAUCCAGCUAUGCCGCGUGGAUGAAGAAGGCCUUCGGGUUGUAAAGUCCUUUCGGCGGGGAAGAUAAUGACGGUACCCGCAGAAGAAGCCCCGGCUAAUUUCGUGCCAGCCGCCGCCGUAAUAC